rnacentral:rRNA from 1 species
UACGUAGGGGGCAAGCGUUGUCCAUUUAUUGGGCGUAAAGAGCGUGUAGGCGGCCAGGUAGGUCGGCUGUGAAAACUCGAGGCUCAACCUCGAGAUGUCGGCCGAAACCAUCUGGCUAGAGUCCGGAAGAGGAGUGUGGAAUUCCUGGUGUAGCGGUGAAAUGCGCAGAUAUCAGGAGGAACACCAAUGGCGAAGGCAGCACUCUGGGACGUGACUGACGCUGAGACGCGAAAGCGUGGGGAGCAAACAGG